rnacentral:rRNA from 1 species
UGCGUAAAGCGUGUGGCUAGGCGUCGUAGCAGUCGUAAUCUCGCUUAACCUUGGAACCUCGAUGGACUGCCAGGCUAGAGUGGUCAGUAGGGGUGGAUUCCACCUGUUAGCUAUGAAUGCGUAGAGAUGUGGAGGAACCACCGAUGGCGAGCAGCCCCCUUGGAUGACACUGACGUCAUGCACGAAGCGUGGGGGAGCAAACAGCAUUAGAUACCUGCUAGUUCCCCGCCCCUAAACGAUGUCAACUGGUUGUUGGAAGGGUAACCUUUUUAGUUAACGAAGCUAACGCGUGAAGUUGACCGCCUGGGGAGUACGGUCGCAAGAUUAAAACUCAAAAGGAAUUGACGGGGACCCGCACACGCGGUGGAUGAUGUGGUUUAAUUUGAUGCAACGCGAAAAAACCUUACCCCACCUUUGACAUGUACGGAAUCCUUUAGAGAUAGAGGAGUGCUCGAAAGAGAGCCGUAACACAGGUGCUGCAUGGCUGUCGUCAGCUCGUGUCGUGAGAUGUUGGGUUAAGUCCCGCAACGAGCGCAACCCUUGUCAUUAGUUGCUACAUUCAGUUGGGCACUCUAAUGAGACUGCCGGUGACAAACCGGAGGAAGGUGGGGAUGACGUCAAGUCCUCAUGGCCCUUAUAGGUGGGGGUACACACGUCAUACAAUGGCUGGUACAGAGGGUUGCCAACCCGCGAGGGGGAGGUAAUCCCAUAAAGCCAGUCGUAGUCCGGAUCGCAGUCUGCAACUCGACUGCGUGAAGUCGGAAUCGCUAGUAAUCGCGGAUCAGAAUGUCGCGGUGAAUACGUUCCCGGGUCUUGUACACACCGCCCGUCACACCAUGGGAGCGGGUUCUGCCAGAAGUAGUUAGCCUAACCGCAAGGAGGGCGAUUACCACGGCAGGGUUCGUGACUGGGGUGAAGUCGUAACAAGGUAACC